GAUGAACGCUGGCGGCGUGCCUAAUACAUGCAAGUCGAGCGAACGGACGAGAAGCUUGCUUCUCUGAUGUUAGCGGCGGACGGGUGAGUAACACGUGGAUAACCUACCUAUAAGACUGGGAUAACUUCGGGAAACCGGAGCUAAUACCGGAUAAUAUUUCGCACCGCAUGGUUCAAAAGUGAAAGACGGUCUUUCUGUCACUUAUAGAUGGAUCUGCGCUGCAUUAGCUAGUUGGUAAGGUAACGGCUUACCAAGGCAACGAUGCGUAGCCGACCGGAGAGGGUGAUCGGCCACACUGGAACUGAGACACGGUCCAGACUCCUACGGGAGGCAGCAGUAGGGAAUCUUCCGCAAUGGGCGAAAGCCUGACGGAGCAACGCCGCGUGAGUGAUGAAGGUCUUCGGAUCGUAAAACUCUGUUAUUAGGGAAGAACAUAUGUGUAAGUAACUGUGCACAUCUUGACGUUACCUAAUCAGAAAGCCACGGCUAACUACGUG
rnacentral:rRNA from 1 species